rnacentral:rRNA from 1 species
UACGGAGGGUGCAAACGUUGCUCGGAAUCAUUGGGCGUAAAGCGCACGUAGGCGGCCUGUUAAGUCGGAUGUGAAAGCCCCGGGCUCAACCCGGGAAGUGCAUACGAAACUGGCGGCUUGAAUAUGGAAGAGGGUCGCGGAAUUCCCGGUGUAGAGGUGAAAUUCGUAGAUAUCGGGAGGAACACCAGUGGCGAAGGCGGCGACCUGGGCCAAUAUUGACGCUGAGGUGCGAAAGCGUGGGAGCAACAGGAUUAGAU